rnacentral:lncRNA from 1 species
UUGUAUCUCUUACUUUUUUUUACUAAAAACAAAAAAAAAACAAAAAAAAAUUGGACUUGGGCCUCUCUCAUUUGAACCCACAGGUCCACAAAAACCAGGUUAUAAAUUCAGAGUUUCAGUGAAACAAAAAGAGGCCAUUCCUAUUACCCUGGCAGGAAAAAGAAAGUGAGAGAAGAGCUAACAGAGAACCCAGAGCAACCUCCAAACCCUGAAGGGAACUCAACUGCACAG